rnacentral:lncRNA from 9 species
CAGAGUACUUUUUUUUUGCUUUUUUUUUUUUUUUUUUUUACGAGUAUAUAUAUUUAUUAGCAUGCUGACAUAAAAAGCUGUUCACUCUAUAGUAAACCUUCAAAAGUAGAGUGAAAAUCAGAUUGUACCAUAUGAUCCUAUUUUUUAAAAAUAUACACAUAAUGCAUAUAAGAAAAGAAUUCUGGAGGUAUCAACACAAAAGAUGAUGUAACAGUGAUUAUCAGAGUGAUUUUAAUGAGUAUCUUUCGCUUUGCUCUUUGUUUUUUCUAAUUUUUUUCAACAAUAAUUGUGCAAUAUUUGUAUAAUCUGGGGGCAGGGGAGCAGGUGUAGAAAUACUUAUCUAUGGAAAAUGAUUCUUUCUGAUGGCUUUAACCUGUCCCAACCAGGCUGGCUUGCAGAGUUCCCGCCUCAGCAUUGGUGGAGGAAGGGACCUCCCUUGGGCUCCCCCACCCCCCACCCCCCCAGCUGUGAGUUGUGCGGGACUCAUAGCUCUGGCUGCUGAGCUUGUUAUGAACAGGUGAGGCAGUGCUGCUGGCUGGCUGUCGUGUUCUGUGUCUUCCUGCGCCUCUACUGCUACUGGUUUCACGUGUUGGCCUUUCCCUCUGACAUUUUCUUUAUUUUUUUUUUAAUCACCUGCCAAUGCCUCUGACAUUUUAAGCAAAGGGUAAACCUUUAAACUUCCAUCAUUGAAACCUGAGACAAAUAGACACAGAGCCCAGAACUCCAAGGUAGAGCCUGGGGAGGUCUGAGGCCUGAGGGAAGGUGAAAGAGCCCCUGGGAGCCAAGACCUGACACUCAAGUCCCAGCUUUUCCUGCAGCCAGCCGUGUGUCCAGCUCUGUGUCCCUGGGCAGCCAGGAGAGUCAGCUUCCUCAUCUGCAAAGCGAUGAGGUUGGGCUAAAUCCUCCCUGAGGUCUCUUCCAAUUCUAAAAUUGUGAGUCUAACAAUAUCACAUUAUUAAUAUAAUAUAAUAUACAGGGUAAUGUAAUAUAAUAUAGUGAUAUAUGAUAUAAUAUAUCAUUAUAUAAACAGUAAUAUUAUAUAACAUAAAAUGAUUAUCAUACUUUAGCAAAAAUAAUGAGAAACAGAAGAAAAUGUUCCAGCCAUGUUGAUUUAGAUAUUAGACCCUCAAUGGAAGUUUAUACACUAACAGGAGAGGAAAAAGUUAGUAUGAGUUUGCAUGCAGUAUCCAAAGAAUUAAUGCAAACAUGGUUUGGGACCUAGAUGAACAGAAAAUUUCCUUGUGACUUUUCCAUUUGUGGAGCAGAGAACAUAAUUCAUGUCUGUUUAACUCACCUCAUGAGUGCUUAGUGGACAACCACACAGGAGGGGGUCCCAUUUUUUAAAAAUGUGUUCUGAUAAUAAGCAUGAUAAUAGUGACCGCCAGGGCUUAGAAACAGAGAGCCCACUUCUGGUCAGUACCUGGGCCCUGGACAGGUCACAUUGCCUUCUAGAGGCUCCCCUCUCCCACAGCCUCACAGGGUCAUCUUGAGCCUCAGAUGCAAGCCUGGGGAAGUAGCAAAAAGGGAGUUUGGAGCCAGGAGAGCUAAGUACAAUCCCAUUCUGCCCAGCAUGCAUUAGGUGUGAGUAGAUGAGGCACUUAGCCUUCCUAAGCCUUAGCUUCCUUACCUGCAGAAUGGGCCAAAUAACAAUAACCCGCACCAUUGUUUCGAUGUCAUGGGAGACAACACACACAAAGACUUUGAUCAUUUAUAGAAUGCUGAGCACAUACUAGCAAUUUCACCAUAAGACAUGGAAAAGCGCUUUAGACACCUUUAAAGCGCUAGACGAAUGAAUCGUGAGAUGGUGAUAAUGAGCAUUGAGUCAUUGAAGAAAUAGAGUUCAGGCGUUCCCGUCGUGGCUGUGGUUAACGAAUCCGACUGGAAACCAUGGGGUUGCGGGUUCCGUCCCUCACCUUUCUCAGAGGGUUGUGGGUACGGUGUUGCCGUGAGCUGUGGUGUAGGUCACAGAUGCGGCUCGGAUCCCGCGUUGCUGUGGCUCUGGCGUAGGCUGGCGGCUACAGCUCCGAUUCGACCCCUAGCC